rnacentral:lncRNA from 1 species
GUCCUGUGUUGUCAUUUUGAUGUUAUAUUUCACAUGGCCAUAAAAGUGCGAGGUUUGGCAUGCCACAAAACCAGGUUCAACCCACCAUUUUUUCCUUUAAAAAUGCCCUGUACCAAGUCAGGAAUAUGGCCAUUGUUAUAUUAUAGUUCGUUUCUGUGUGUAUUACAUUAUAACGUUGUGUCGUUUGUUUUCUCUUAUUUUUGAGUGUAAAUUCACAUUGCUAUAAGACGUGUCACGGUACUUGUCUAUCCCAAAUUCAUGUAUUUGGUUUUGAUGUUAUAUAUAUAUAUGUUAUAUUUGUUGUUCUCGUGGGUGGGAUUUUGUCUAUGUGUGUUACAUUUUAGUGUUAUGUCGUUGUUCUCCUCUUAUAUUUAAUGCGUUUCCCUCGGUUUUAGUUUGUUACCCCGAUUUUGUUUUUUG